CUGACUGACUUUGCCCAUAGUAAUGUAAAUGAUUUGUUAUUUUGUCCCAUACAAAUGAAUAUAUAUAAUUUAGGGGUAGGGAUCUCAACGGUUUUCAAGUUCUCCAACAGGUAGGGGUAGGCAGAGGAUUUAGGGGGCAGGGGGCCCGCCCCCCUUUUGGGGAAAAAAUUUGGUUGCUUAUAUAGGUAAUCACUGAAGCAUGACUGGAGCGGGCCCCUCUUAGGUCAGUCAGUGGGCCCCACUUAUGAAUAUUUCUGGAUCCGCCACUGGGGGUAGGGUGACCCUAGGGACUUCCC
rnacentral:lncRNA from 1 species